CCUACGGGUGGCAGCAGUGGGGAAUAUUGCACAAUGGGGGAAACCCUGAUGCAGCGACGCCGCGUGAGUGAAGAAGUAUUUCGGUAUGUAAAGCUCUAUCAGCAGGGAAGAAAUAGCGACCUUUGGGUCGCCAGACGGUACCUGAUUAAGAAGCCCCGGCUAACUACGUGCCAGCAGCCGCGGGAAUACGUAGGGGGCAAGCGUUAUCCGGAUGUACUGGGUGUAAAGGGAGCGUAGACGGCAGCGCAAGUCUGAAGUGAAAUGCCGGGGCUUAACCCCGGAACUGCUUUGGAAACUGUGCAGCUAGAGUGCAGGAGAGGUAAGUGGAAUUCCUAGUGUAGCGGUGAAAUGCGGAGAUAGUAGGAGGAACACCAGUGGCGAAGGCAGCUUACCAAGCUACUUCUGACGUUGAGGCACGAAAGCGUGGGGAGCAAACAGGAUUAGAUACCCUUGUAGUC
rnacentral:rRNA from 1 species